rnacentral:rRNA from 1 species
UACAGAGGGGGCAAGCGUUAUUCGGAAUUAUUGGGCGUAAAGCGCGCGCAGGCGGCCUUUUAAGUCUGAUGUGAAAGCCCACGGCUCAACCGUGGAAGGUCAUUGGAAACUGAAAGGCUUGAGUACAGAAGAGGAAAGCGGAAUUCCACGUGUAGCGGUGAAAUGCGUAGAGAUGUGGAGGAACACCAGUGGCGAAGGCGGCUUUCUGGUCUGUAACUGACGCUGAGGCGCGAAAGCGUGGGGAGCAAACAGG